rfam:Tupaia chinensis contig68546, whole genome shotgun sequence.
CAAGAGGCUUUUCUAAAAGUCACUUAAAAAGUUUAAAACAGAAUAU